GCGGCGGACGGGUGAGUAAUGCCUAGGAAUCUGCCUGGUAGUGGGGGAUAACGUUCGGAAACGGACGCUAAUACCGCAUACGUCCUACGGGAGAAAGCAGGGGACCUUCGGGCCUUGCGCUAUCAGAUGAGCCUAGGUCGGAUUAGCUAGUUGGUGAGGUAAUGGCUCACCAAGGCGACGAUCCGUAACUGGUCUGAGAGGAUGAUCAGUCACACUGGAACUGAGACACGGUCCAGACUCCUACGGGAGGCAGCAGUGGGGAAUAUUGGACAAUGGGCGAAAGCCUGAUCCAGCCAUGCCGCGUGUGUGAAGAAGGUCUUCGGAUUGUAAAGCACUUUAAGUUGGGAGGAAGGGUUGUAGAUUAAUACUCUGCAAUUUUGACGUUACCGACAGAAUAAGCACCGGCUAACUCUGUGCCAGCAGCCGCGGUAAUACAGAGGGUGCAAGCGUUAAUCGGAAUUACUGGGCGUAAAGCGCGCGUAGGUGGUUCGUUAAGUUGGAUGUGAAAGCCCCGGGCUCAACCUGGGAACUGCAUUCAAAACUGACGAGCUAGAGUAUGGUAGAGGGUGGUGGAAUUUCCUGUGUAGC
rnacentral:rRNA from 1 species